CUGCCGGCCAGCGCUGAUUUGUUCCGGCUUGCGGGCGCUUUAGAAAUGCUGCUAAAGAGACAAGGCAACCGACCCG
rnacentral:ncRNA from 1 species